rnacentral:lncRNA from 1 species
ACCAAACUCACAGCUACUUUCUUGCUGGCGGGUAGGCAGGAACUGGACCAUCUCUUUGAAGGAGCAAUUAUACAUAUAAGUAAAAAGCAAUAAAUAGAUGGUAGAGCAAAAUGCUGAAAUUAUUUUUAAAUACUUUAAGCCAACUAUUAAGAGUAUCUUUAAAAACAAAAAGAAAAUGUUACUGAAAAUUCAUGUGUAUUAUAAAACCAGAAAACAAAAGACUAAAUGAAAUGGGUAAUUUCUUUUAAGUUGUUGUGUAAAAGCCAGUUAUGUUUCGCUCAAAUUCAGAUCCAGACUUGUCAAAUCAUAAUUAAUUGCAAUACCAUUUAUUGAUGACACACCUUAAUCUUCAUCUUCUGCCAUUUUCAGUGGCUCUCAACCUUCCUGGUGCUGUGACCCUGUAAUACAGCUCCUCAUGUUGCGAUGACCCAACCAUAAAAUUAUUUUCAUUGCUAUUUCCUAACCAUAAUUUUGCUACUGUUAUCACAAUGUAAAUAUUUUUGGAGAUAGGGGUUUGCCAAAGGGGUCAUAUCCAAGGUUGAGCUGACUUAAGCAAUAAUAUUAAUUGCUUGAUGUGUCUAAUAUAGUGAAACUGAAGAAAAGUCUGGAGCCAGGAUAAUGGCUCUGACCUCAAGCUUUCUUAUCUAUUGAACCUCAUCGGACUAUUGUGAAGAUAAAAUAGAUUCAUGUAUGUUUUAUGUGGUAUCUGUGAGACAUGGCCCUGGUUCAUACAUGACUGAAAACUGCCAUGAAUGUAGCUAAGCCCAAAAUCUUAAAGUUAUUUUUCAAACAUGAGGGUUUUCCCCCCGUUUCUAGAUGGGAGUUGACUCAGUUGCACCAUUCAAGGGUUAACUUAGUAGACACCAUCACUCUACAGUGGAAGAGGUUGGAUAAGCCUGUGGUAGACAUUGCUGGUUUUGCAGAAUCUAAAGUACUCAAAUACAUGUGAUGAAAAUGGGUCAGUGUUCAAACAGUGCCUCAGGCUCAGGUGUCCCAUCCCAGCGAAUGUGAUCUUAGCUUCCCGUGAAGUUCAUUAGUGCACAGCACAUAAGCCUGGUAUGAACCAGCACAAAUACCAUUUCCCCUUUCUGUGGAGUCUACCAGACAGUUUGACUCUUUGCAGUCGCUUCCCACCUUAGAAUGACAGAGGUGACAUAGGCGAACCCUGAGACUUUCAAACCACCAUUCUUAUGAUUCUAGAGUGUACUAGUUUCCUGGGUGGGAUCCUAGGAAGUUAAGUCAAGGGCCUUCACUUCCAAUCUCACCUGUAACUAAGAACUAGGCCAGACAACAGCUGGCUAAACUCCCGAUCUGAGGUGUAAUGUUUCAAAACUCAUCAUUAAUUUAACCACCAAUGUCCCUAAAAACCAUAGUAUUCCCAAACAUAACAGUAAUUCUAAUUCAUGUUUGUCUCAGAAUGUGACUAGUUGUCACUGAUGUGGACAAUAUACUUUCUGUGGCAAAUAAUAUCUUAAGUUAAUUCAGUGUUAUUUAAAUAUUAAAAUCACCCGGCAUGACCCCUCAGACCUUCAGUAAUAACUUUAAAUAACUGACAUUUUCCCCAAAAUACAAUAUUUUUGUAUAUGUAUUUAAGGAAAAUCUAGACCCAUGAAAUCUUAUAUUUAUGUCACUUUUGAUUUAUAGGGACAAUAUUAUUACCUACUACUGAAAAGAUGAUCAAAGUUUGAUGAAAAAUUCUUUUAAAAAGAUAAAUUGGUUUUAUGAAUUGCAGUGUUAAUGUAUAUCUGUCAUUUUAUAAACUCUUUGUGAAGAAGAGAAGAUGUGGCUAAAUUUGAAAAGAAAAUGCAACAAAUUGGUUAUAAGAAAGACUUCUAGGCAUCAUGGUGCAUGCCUUUAAUUCCAGCACUCAAGAAACAGAGGCAAGCAAAUCUCUGUGAGCAAAUCUUGCAAGUCGGUCCUGUCUACAUACAUAGUGAGUUCCAGGCGUAUCCAGGACUAUAUAAUGAGAUUCUGUCUCAAAAAAAAAAAAAAAGGAAAAAAGAAGGGAAAAGAAAAGGAAAGAAAAGAAAAAUGAUAGACAAGCAAGUAGUUAAAAAAAAAACCUUUUAUAAUAGAAAAUUACCUAGUGUCUUACUAAGGGAUCACCAAUCAACUUGCAGAUUGCAUAUUUUUAUACAGAAGCAACACAUAGUCAGGCAUCUUAGACUUUCUGUUUCUAUUGCUUAAGAGACAUGAACUGCCUCCAGAAUUCAAAGAAUAAAUAGUUAAUUUGAUAUCUGAUUAAUUUUCAGUAAUCUCUACUCUAUAAACACUAGCUUACUGUCUCGGGCACUGUGUUAAAUAUUAGU